AGUUUGAUCCUGGCUCAGGAUGAACGCUGGCGGCGUGCCUAACACAUGCAAGUCGAACGAAGCAUGUAUGGAACUUACUUUCGAGGAAGGGAAAUACAUGACUGAGUGGCGGACGGGUGAGUAACGCGUGGGUAACCUGCCGUAUACAGGGGGAUAACAGCCAGAAAUGGCUGCUAAUACCGCAUAAGCGCACAGCACCGCAUGGUGCAGUGUGAAAAACUCCGGUGGUAUACGAUGGACCCGCGUCUGAUUAGCUAGUUGGAGGGGUAAAGGCCCACCAAGGCGACGAUCAGUAGCCGGCCUGAGAGGGUGGACGGCCACAUUGGGACUGAGACACGGCCCAAACUCCUACGGGAGGCAGCAGUGGGGAAUAUUGCACAAUGGGGGAAACCCUGAUGCAGCGACGCCGCGUGAAGGAAGAAGUAUCUCGGUAUGUAAACUUCUAUCAGCAGGGAAGAAAAUGACGGUACCUGACUAAGAAGCUCCGGCUAAAUACGUG
rnacentral:rRNA from 1 species